GACGUAGGGCGCGAGCGUUGUCCGGAUUUAUUGGGCGUAAAGAGCUCGUAGGCGGUCUGUCGCGUCUGGUGUGAAAAUCCAGGGCUUAACCCUGGACCUGCAUCGGGUACGGGCAGACUAGAGUGCGGUAGGGGAGAUCGGAAUUCCUGGUGUAGCGGUGAAAUGCGCAGAUAUCAGGAGGAACACCGGUGGCGAAGGCGGAUCUCUGGGCCGUAACUGACGCUGAGGAGCGAAAGCAUGGGGAGCGAACAGG
rnacentral:rRNA from 1 species